CCACCUCCUAAGUAUCAAAAAUCAAGUCAGAACCCCAGUCGCUGGCCCGGGGAAGGAGGAAUACGUACAAGCAACCCCGUCGCGCUGCUUUGCCUCUGCGGCUGCAGUGGAUGGAGCACGUUAAUUUUGGUUCUGGCUGCCGGGUGGGUACUGCCGCUCCCAUCGCGUCUCCCAUCCAAACCCGUCAGACAAGACCGCGGCCGAUGCCAAAACACGGCGCUGCCCUGUCAGCAAAAAAAAAAAAAAAAAAAAAAGAAAAGAAAAAAAAAGGGGGCGUCUAACUGCCGAGGCUCGGGCAGGAAGGCCAGCGCCGCCACCGGGACCGGGACCACGGCCCGGGCUGCCCGCCGGCCGCCCCGGCUCCGAGGUCGGCGGUGCGUACGGCUGGGCCGCCGCCGUUCCUCCUCCGCCCCCCCCCCCCGGCCCGCUCCGCGCCCCUCCCGAGGCCGGAGGCGGCCGUUACACCGCGGCAGGCGGGCUCGCGCCGCCCGGCCGACUCGGCGGGGAGAGGGCGGAGGGGGAGAGCAGCUCCCACCGGGCCGGCUACGGCUCGCCGCCGCGGCGCUCUCCCGGUGCCCCGGUCCCCCAGCCCAGCCCAGCCCAGCCCCGCGCCGCGCUCUCCUCCUGCCCCCGCCGCCCCUUCACCGAUUAGAAAUCGCUCCUCGCGCCGCUCCGCCGCCCGCACCGCCCACCGCCCGCGGGCGCAUGCGCGGCGCAACGCAACCGCCGCCGCUUCCCUCCUCCUCCUCCUCCUCUCCCCCCCCACCCGCCCCCCACUUCGGCUGCCCCCCGUCUGCCGCGCGAGACCGCGGCCGCACGAAGCGGCGGCGGCCUUGGAAACGGUGGGCGCACGCGCGCCUUCGGUGGGGCUCUCCCCGCCCCCGAGGGGGGGGGGCACGUGACCCGGCCCCGCCUCCCGCGCGGAAUAGGCGAAGGAACACGACUUUGUUUAGAAGAGUUCCGUGCGCGCGCGUGUGUUUCCGCGGGGCGGGGGGCGAGGCGCGCGGGAGGCGCACGCAACUGCGGCGCGCCUGCGCCGCUUGUCCACGCGCAGACGCUGGGAGGGGGCGUGGUCGGGAGAGCGUGUAUGUGUGUGUGUGUGUGUUGGGGGGGGCGGAGGGGGGAGAUAAACCCCCUCCGGCCCGGCGGCGGCGCCCCCCGCCUCCCGCGCCCCCCUCCCCCGCGCCCCCGGAGCGGAAAGGGAGCGACAGCUGGCUCCGCCAAGCGGCGCUGCCGCCGAGUAACGGGCGCCCCGCCCCUCGGCCCGCCCCCUCCGGCAUGUCCCCACCCCCGCGGGCCCUGCCCCCUCCCCUCCUGCCGCCGCUGCUGCUGCUGCCGCUGCUGCUGCCAGCGCAGCCUGAACUGAAGCGAACUCCGGAGCGAACUGAGGAGAAGUGA
rnacentral:lncRNA from 1 species